rnacentral:antisense_RNA from 1 species
GAUAGCCGAAAAUGCGGAUAGGAUUGAGUGUAGGAUGACUGAUAACGCGCACAUCACCACCACCCGCUGCCCAAGGGUCGAAUAAUCCACCCCAAAACAUCGCUUUGGCAACAAGUAGCAACGCGCCUAAACCUAAAAGUACGAGGUGAAUGCCUAAAAUAGACGUGAUUUUAUCUUUAUCUUUCCA